rnacentral:rRNA from 1 species
UUGAGACCGGCGCACGGGUGCUUUUCAACGUAUGCAAUCCGCCUUCCACAGAGGGAUAGCCCAGAGAAAUUUGGAUGAAUACCUCAUAGCAUCAUGACCCGGCAUCGGGAUAUGAUUAAAGUCACAACGGUGGAAGAUGAGCAUGCGUCCCAUUAGCUAGUUGGUAAGGUAACGGCUUACCAAGGCUACGAUGGGUAGGGGUCCUGAGAGGGAGAUCCCCCACACUGGUACUGAGACACGGACCAGACUCCUACGGGAGGCAGCAGUGAGGAAUAUUGGUCAAUGGGCGCAAGCCUGAACCAGCCAUGCCGCGUGCAGGAUGACGGUCCUAUGGAUUGUAAACUGCUUUUGUACGGGAAGAAACCCUCCUACGUGUAGGAGCUUGACGGUACCGUAAGAAUAAGGAUCGGCUAACUCCGUGCCAGCAGCCGCGGUAAUACGGAGGAUCCAAGCGUUAUCCGGAAUCAUUGGGUUUAAAGGGUCUGUAGGCGGUCUUGUAAGUCAGUGGUGAAAGCCCAUCGCUCAACGGUGGAACGGCCAUUGAUACUGCUGGACUUGAAUUAUUGGGAAGCAACUAGAAUAUGUAGUGUAGCGGUGAAAUGCUUAGAGAUUACAUGGAAUACCAAUUGCGAAGGCAGGUUGCUACCAAUGGAUUGACGCUGAUGGACGAAAGCGUGGGUAGCGAACAGGAUUAGAUACCCUGGUAGUCCACGCCGUAAACGAUGGAUACUAGCUGUUGGGCGCAAGUUCAGUGGCUAAGCGAAAGUGAUAAGUAUCCCACCUGGGGAGUACGAACGCAAGGUUUGAAACUCAAAAGGAAUUGACGGGGGCCCGCACAGCGGUGGAGCAUGUGGGUUUAAUUCGAUGAUACGCGAGGAACCUUACCAAGGCUUAAAAUGCAGGACUGACCGGUUUGG